CAGUUUUGGGCCGAAAGUAAAGGCAUAGCGAAACCGGCCCACAAAAUGAAAAGAAAAGCAAAACGAAAACUAGAAAUCCCGUAUCAGGAUGCGCCACCGCCGGACCAGCAGCGCAAAGCCAGGCGCCGAUUUGCUCCCCCGCUCACCGCCGGUGGCUUGCUCCUGCAAAAGCCCCUAAACUCCCUUCACCAAUGCCGGCGCUGCCCGCCCCGGCGCCGUCCAACUCUUCGUGGCGCCGGCACGCCAGCCCCGCGGCGGCGGCGGCUUCCUCCUCCACCCCCAAAUCCCUCCUGCUGCUCCUCCCGGUCCUGCUGCUGCUCCUCUUCGCGCUCUCCAGGGCCCCGGAUCUCGCCUUCUCCAGCACCUCCACCGCCGCUGCCGCGGCCGCCCACUCCUCCUACUCCUCCCGCCACCUCCGCCCCUUCGACUGCUACGCCUCGCCGCAGGCCUCCCCGGUCGUCGCCAACCUCGUGGAGGGCGUGCCCCGCCCCUUCUUCUACUCGCUCGCCGACAUGGGAGCCCUCCCCGACCGCCCCCACAAGAACAUCGCGCGCCUUCUCAAGGGCAAGCGGUUCCGCAAGCCCGACAUCUCCGAGACCAUCCAGGGGCUGCUCGGCGGGGAGGUGGGGAGGGGCGGGCCGUCCGGCGGAGUGGUGGUGGACGUGGGGGCCAACGUCGGCAUGGCGUCGUUCGCGGCCGCCGUGAUGGGGUUCCGGGUGGUGGCGUUCGAGCCCGUGUUCGAGAACCUGCAGCGGAUUUGCGACGGGGUGUACCUCAAUCGGGUGCGGGACCGCGUUGUGGUGUAUCACGCGGCGGCUUCAGAUCGAGUUGGGAACAUUACUAUGCAUAAGGUGAUUGGCCGACUUGACAACAGUGCUAUUUCUGCAACUGGUGCAAAGUUAGCAUUUAAGUCUAAUGAGGAUAUUGCUGUUGUGGUUUCCACAAUCCCAUUGGAUGAAGUCAUUCCAGAAACCGAGCGAGUUCUUAUGAUCAAAAUUGAUGUUCAAGGUUGGGAAUACCAUGUACUGAGAGGUGCAUCAAAAUUGCUUUCAAGGACAAAAGGUGAAGCUCCCUACCUUAUAUAUGAAGAAGAUGAACGCCUGCUGCAGGCAAGCAACACAAGCUCACAGGAGAUAAGGGCAUUUCUGUCUAGUGUUGGUUACAAUGAUUGUACACGGCGUGGCACUGAUGCUCACUGUACAAAAGAAUAGACAAAUUGGUUUUUGAGUGGUGCUCUGAUGCUCCUAAGCUCAAGUUGUUCAGACCAGGGGUUUAGAAAUUUCAUGUGUCCAAUAGUUGGGUUGCCUUGAGUUCCAUGAAUUUCACCAUCUAUUUCGACCCAAGGGAUGUGUGCAAUCUUCGGCCAGUCAAUGCCAUGUUCUUUUAUCAGUCUCUCCUUGAGCAGUGGGUGACAGAGUGCAACUUCAAUCUUUCUAAUGGAUAGUGGCAGCGGUUCCUCUGGCAGUGAUUCCAAUGCAGGGCAGUUCCAUAAGACCAACUUAUACAGGGACUGUAUUCUGGACAGGGUUGAAGGGAGUGAUCGCAGAGUAUUGCAACCACUGAUACAUAAGCUUUGGAGUGACUUUAGCUGUAGGAGAAUAUUGUUAUCGUCUGCGCUGAAGGAGGUGAUUUCUGAGCAAUCUUGGAUAUCUAGGCUCUCAAUGAGCUCAAGCCUUUCUCUCAAAAGAGGACACC